rnacentral:tRNA from 1 species
GGUGGUGGCUCAGUGGUAGAGCACUUGCUUAGCAUGUAUGAGGCACUGGGUUCGAUUCUCAGCACCG